CUUCCUUGAUAAGUUCAAAAUGAGUCUGGAGCAAGCAUGCUCCUCUAGCAAUGCCGUGCAAAUAAUUAAUGCAGUGCCACCUGGGAGAGGCCUUUGGACUCCAGAGAUGCCCACAUGAGAGGAUCGUAUGGAUGAGCUGGCCACCAGAUCAUGCCCCUACCUGACAUAGUAUAAAUAUAGGACAGUUUCAGAAGAUCCUCAAAUUCCAUAAAUUGAAGAGUUAUCUCAUCCCAUUCUCAGGAUGAAAUUGAAAGCCACUUGUUGAAGACAACAGUCUCUGCCAGCCUAUGACCAUCUACAACCAACUUCCAAAACAUGAAGACCAACAUUGAACUAUCACCUGAAAUUUGCUUUCCUGCUGGAGACUCCCGGUCACACCAUGGCCAUAGAGGAAGGGAGAAACAAAGGAAGCAAGCCCUGGUUGAGCAAGAAAGCCUUCUGACUGUAAAGCAAAAUGGAAAUAUUUUCAAACUGAAGGAAAAUUAAGUAAAACAGAAGAACAUUUCCUAAUGGUUUUAUCAUGCUGCUAGGACAUUCAGAGUUUUCUUUCUGAAGCCAACCUUCAAAGAUGUACCUUAUUAACUUUCAAAACUCAGAGAUAAUUGACAGUUUGUCACUUACCUAUAGCUACCUUUAGCUAAAAGCUAGUCUGUAUUCUCUCAUCCCUCAUGCAUGGCUGAAACCCCUUUAACAACAGCAGUAACUGACACCAUGUACAAGUGUGUGCACGUGUGCGCGCACACACACACACACACACACACAAUCCCACAUUGGGAGUGUGAAAAACAGAAAUGGGGAUGUAGCAAAAGUUUUAGAGAAACAAAUAUGCACUUUUCCUCCAGAAUCCAGAGAAUAUAGACCAAGCCAGUGUGUUUUCAGCUUAUGUGAAAACAAUUACUUUUGUAUUCUCCUCUGAAAAGUUACAAAUGAUUGGUUUGGAAGGACUCACUGUGUGUCUGUUGGAAACGUAAUCUAUUGCAUGUCAAAUACCCUAAAAUGAAGUGAAUGUGAAAGUCUAGUAUAAACCAAAUAAUGGGGCUGUGGAUAUGGCUCAAGCGGUAGUGCGCUCUCCUGGCAUGCGUGCGCCCUGGGUUCGACCCUCAGCACCACAUACAAACAAAGAUGUUGUGUCCGCCGAAAACUAAAGAAUAAAUACUAAAAUUCUCUCUCUCUCUCUUAAAAAAAAAGAUUUAAACCAAAUAAUGGCAGCAAAGAAAAAGGUAUAUGGGGAUAUCCUGAUUUUGUUUGUACUUUCAGAUAAUUUUUUACAAACCCCUCAUGCCCUAAAAGUAUUUCAAUAAGUCAAUAGCAAAAUUGUCUUCAAAUGAAGUUGUUAUUCUGUGUAUCACAACAUUACCAGGGAAGCCUUUUCUGAUGAUCUCCUCUCCCUCUUACCUUCCUGCCACGUGCGCAUGCACCUGUGCACGCAAUCACUCGCACACCCUCCCACCAAAUAAAUUAAUAAAAUAUGUUCCUGGAUUAUUUGGUGAAGUGUUGGAAGUACAGUAAUGUUGUAAGAAAGAACCAAGAUUAUUCACUACCUAAAAGAUGUCCUUGAGAUUCUCUUCUUUCAAACUCCUUGAAGUAAAGCAGAGUAAAACUAAGCUAAAGAGCUAAAGGCAAUCCUCUG